rnacentral:rRNA from 1 species
GUGAGGAAUUUUCCGCAAUGGGCGAAAGCCUGACGGAGCAAUGCCGCGUGAAGGAUGAAGGCCUAUGGGUUGUAAACUUCUUUUCUCAGAAAAGAAUUAUGACGGUAUCUGAGGAAUAAGCAUCGGCUAACUCUGUGCCAGCAGCCGCGGUAAGACAGAGGAUGCAAGCGUUAUCCGGAAUGAUUGGGCGUAAAGCAUCUGUAGGUUGUUUAAAAAGUAUUCUGUCAAAGAUUAGGGCUUAACCCUAGAUAGGCAGAAUAAACUUUUAAGCUAGAGUUUGGUAGAGGCAGAGGGAAUUCCCGGUGGAGCGGUGAAAUGCGUAGAUAUCGGGAGGAACACCAAAGGCGAAGGCACUCUGCUGGGCCAAUACUAACACUGAGAGACGAAAGCGAGGGGAGCAAAUGGGAUUAGAAACCCCAGUAGUCC